GUGGGGAAUCUUAGACAAUGGGCGCAAGCCUGAUCUAGCCAUGCCGCGUGAGCGAUGAAGGCCUUAGGGUUGUAAAGCUCUUUCAGUGGGGAAGAUAAUGACUGUACCCACAGAAGAAGCCCCGGCUAACUCCGUGCCAGCAGCCGCGGUAAUACGGAGGGGGCUAGCGUUGUUCGGAAUUACUGGGCGUAAAGCGCACGUAGGCGGACUGGAAAGUCAGAGGUGAAAUCCCAGGGCUCAACCUUGGAACUGCCUUUGAAACUCCCGGUCUUGAGGUCGAGAGAGGUGAGUGGAAUUCCGAGUGUAGAGGUGAAAUUCGUAGAUAUUCGGAGGAACACCAGUGGCGAAGGCGGCUCACUGGCUCGAUACUGACGCUGAGGUGCGAAAGCGUGGGGAGCAAACAGGAUUAGAAACCCGGGUAGUCC
rnacentral:rRNA from 1 species